rnacentral:rRNA from 1 species
UACGGAGGAUGAGAGCGUUAUCCGGAUUUAUUGGGUUUAAAGGGUGCGUAGGCGGACGCUUAAGUCAGCGGUAAAAUUGCGGGGCUCAACCUCGUCGAGCCGUUGAAACUGGGUGCCUUGAGUGGGCGAGAAGUACGCGGAAUGCGUGGUGUAGCGGUGAAAUGCAUAGAUAUCACGCAGAACUCCGAUUGCGAAGGCAGCGUACCGGCGCCCAACUGACGCUGAAGCACGAAGGCGUGGGUAUCGAACAGG